UUGAGCCGUAUGCGAUGAAAGUCGCACGUGCGGUUCUCAGAGGGGGAAAGUCUGAGAGGACCUACCUAUCUCAAC
rfam:Magnaporthe poae ATCC 64411 mitochondrial scaffold supercont1.206, whole genome shotgun sequence.